rfam:Ornithorhynchus anatinus chromosome 2, whole genome shotgun sequence.
UCCCUCUUAGGGUCACUCCUGGAGAGUUUCCAGUUCUCUGCCAGUCUCGACUAUGGGAGGGAGAGUCAAGCAGAGGCAUUUCCAUUCCAAGCUUGGGCAGUGGCUAGCGAGUGGAAGGCGAUCUGCUACAAGU